AGUGAACGCUGGCGGUAGGCCUAACACAUGCAAGUCGAACGGCAGCACAGUAAGAGCUUGCUCUUACGGGUGGCGAGUGGCGGACGGGUGAGGAAUACAUCGGAAUCUACUUUUUCGUGGGGGAUAACGUAGGGAAACUUACGCUAAUACCGCAUACGACCUACGGGUGAAAGCAGGGGAUCUUCGGACCUUUCGCGAUUGAAUGAGCCGAUGUCGGAUUAGCUAGUUGGCGGGGUAAAGGCCCACCAAGGCGACGAUCCGUAGCUGGUCUGAGAGGAUGAUCAGCCACACUGGAACUGAGACACGGUCCAGACUCCUACGGGAGGCAGCAGUGGGGAAUAUUGGACAAUAGGCGCAAGCCUGAUCCAGCCAUACCGCGUGGGUGAAGAAGGCCUUCGGGUUGUAAAGCCCUUUUGUUGGGAAAGAAAAGCAGCAGGUUAAUCCCCCGCUGUUCUGACGGUACCCAAAGAAUAAGCACCGGCUAACUUCGUG
rnacentral:rRNA from 1 species